rnacentral:rRNA from 1 species
GACGAACGCUGGCGGCGUGCCUAAUACAUGCAAGUUGAGCGCUGAAGGUUGGUACUUGUACCAACUGGAUGAGCAGCGAACGGGUGAGUAACGCGUGGGGAAUCUGCCUUUGAGCGGGGGACAACAUUUGGAAACGAAUGCUAAUACCGCAUAAAAACUUUAAACAAAAGUUUUAAGUUUGAAAGAUGCAAUUGCAUCACUCAAAGAUGAUCCCGCGUUGUAUUAGCUAGUUGGUGAGGUAAAGGCUCACCAAGGCGAUGAUACAUAGCCGACCUGAGAGGGUGAUCGGCCACAUUGGGACUGAGACACGGCCCAAACUCCUACGGGAGGCAGCAGUAGGGAAUCUUCGGCAAUGGACGAAAGUCUGACCGAGCAACGCCGCGUGAGUGAAUAAGGGUUUCGGAUCGUAAAACUCUGUUGGUAGAGAAGAACGUUGGUGAGAGUGGAAAGCUCAUCAAGUGACGGUAACUACCCAGAAAGGGACGGCUAACUACGUG